CAACUAGAGCGACCGCCGCCGCUCUACGCCCAGCUGCCCAUGUCUUCGUCGGGCCCUUCGCCGGCGACGGGAACCCACCACACCAGGUGGAUCUGGCAAUAUGGUACUUGCAAGUUACAAGUUAGCAUUUGCUCCAAUUGUCUACUAACUUAUUCCGUGGCCAUCACAAAUUGAUCUAAAUUUCUGACUAUUGGUAUCAAUAUAUAUAUAUGGUAUACAGUAAUUUCCAUGUCCUACACUGUGAGUAUUUGCUAUUGAUCCUAAAUGUGCACUAGUUUUAUGCUGAUAAAUGGUUAUAUAUGUGGCCAUAAUUUCUAAUCAUUUUGAUGUGAGAGCUAUGCGAGAAAUGUGACUUGAGCAAGAUGUGCAGCUACUUGAUUUGUACUCUUUCUACCUUCAUAUGUAUAUUUAUUUCCCUUACUAUCAUAUUCACGCCAAACCUAUUUUAGCUUGUCUUUCCAAAUAUAUAUACCAGUCAAUUUGUCACUUUGUUGGCUACCUUUUGGUGUUAAAACUGCUGUGUUUUGCCCUUUGCAGGUCAACACCGUUGCAAGUAAUUCAUGUUUUGGGAAACUUCAUGAGAAUUUGGUCUGUUUACUCCUUGUAUAGCUACCUAUCCAACAGUGGAGAUUCAAUAGUUGGCUUUAUCUUCAGUUGUCUUGUACCCACUUCAGUCAUAUUCUUGGUCUUACAGAAGCCUUGGAAAGGCCGACCUUUGCCCAACUCACAGGUUGUUCCUACAGUUGUCAAUGGAGGAAUCCUGGCAUUCUACUUUGUAUUAUGGGGUAAAGGACUUCUUGCUUGUGGUCCACUAGUUGCUCUACUGGCAGAGUAUGCAGGUGCUGUUCUUGGAGUUCUCUCUGCUGCUUUAUAUGGAAGGAAAUCUAACAUCUGGAAAAAGAUUGGUGGACUUGCUGCUAUGUUGGCAGCAUAUUAUCUCUUGUCAAAUGGAUGGUCUACAAGAACCCAUUCUCCUCUAUAUAGCUUUGGAAGUGAACCAGUGGAGAAGGCAGCACAAACUAUUGGAGUGAAAGCAAUGAUGGUGCCAAUUACUGCUGGGAUCUUGUCUGCUUUAAGGAGAGUAUUAGCUCGGCGUGUUUCUCUCAAGAAUCAACUUAAAAGGCGGCUCCAUGCUAUAACUAUUGCUUCUGCUACUUGUUUCCUUUUUCCGUUUGCCAUGUGGGAUACGAUCCUAGGUUCGGCAUCUGACAGCAUUGUUAAAUUACAACUACCAAGUUGGGCAUACUUUAGUACUGUUUUAUUUGGAAUGGUGCUUAUAUUCUAUGUUGACAAUGUUGCUGAAGAAAAGUUGCAUCUGGUCUUCUCUUCUCCAAGGCACUUAAUGGUCUCAACAGGUUGCAUCAUCGUGUUGGAAACAGUGUACCAAAUGGAUUUCUCCCUUUUAGGAUUUCUGGUCUGUUCUGUUAUUUUGGGAUUCGGUAUUUCUGAAGCAACCUCCUUGGAACGCUCAAAGAAAAGCCCUUUAGAGACCCAUGAACUAUCGAAUGGGGUGUUCCACAAUCAAUUGCCUAUUUCAGAACUUCCAAGCUGAAGAAUAUAUGACCUAGGUUGAGAUCGGUGAAAGUUAAUAUUACACAACACGUUUCAAGAGUGGACUGUUACGGUUUGAGUAGUAACGAAGAAUAUUAAAGCUACGACGUUGUGAAUGGCUGCGGUUGCACACCUCAAGCUCAAUGGUUCGAUUCUUUGCGUGAAGGUUUUAACGAGACAGAAAACACGGAUGUUUUUGACCUGCCAAUGCCCAAUGUGUCUUUGUAAUCCUCCAUUAUUGUUGGCCACCUGCAUCCUGUACAUGUGAACAACUCAAGUAGAUGUGUAUCCGUAUUCCCCUUGCAGAUAUUGCAAUUGUCACAGCAUCCUGUUUAACUGCUUGGGUAGUUUCGAAAAUUUGUUUUUCUCACUUGGAGACGCAGAUGGUUCAAGCUGUUAACAGAAGUGCACUGAUUGUUCUUUUUCAGAGGCUGAAACCUGUAUGUAACCCGUCCAUGAUAUGAUUAACAAGCUGACUUUAUCUUUGACCUA